UACCUACCCCUGGGUCCGGGAUAGCUGCGGGAAACUGCAGGUAAUACCGGAUGACAUCUCCGGAUCAAAGGUGUGAUUCCGCCCGGGGAGGGGUCCACGUCCUAUUAGCUGGUUGGUGAGGUAACGGCUCACCAAGGCUGUGAUGGGUACGGGGUGUGAGAGCAUGCCCCCGCUCACUGGGACUGAGACACUGCCCAGACACCUACGGGUGGCUGCAGUCGAGAAUCUUCGGCAAUGGGCGCAAGCCUGACCAAGCGACGCCGCGUGCGAGAUGAAGGCCUUCGGGUUGUAAAUCGCUGUCGGAGGGGAGGAAAUGCCGGUGGGUCCUCCCAUCGGUUUGACCUAGCCUCAGAGGAAGGACGGGCUAAGUUCGUGCCAGCAGCCGCGGUAAGACGGACCGUCCAAACGUUAUUCGGAAUCACUGGGCUUAAAGGGUGCGUAGGCGGUCCGGCAAGUUGGGUGUGAAAGCCCUCGGCUCAACCGAGGAACUGCGCCCAAAACUGCCGGGCUAGAGGGAGACAUAGGUGAGCGGAACUUAGGGUGGAGCGGUGAAAUGCGUUGAGAUCCUAAGGAACACCAGUAGCGAAAGCGGCUCACUGGGUCUUUUCUGACACUGAAGCACGAAAGCUAGGGGAGCGAAGAGGAUUAGAUACCCUCGUAGUCCUAGCCGUAAACAAUGAGCACUGGUUUGGAGGGUCCUCCAUAGCCUUCC
rnacentral:rRNA from 1 species